GUUAGGCGUCCAAGGAGUCGAACGGCUGGCGGACGUUCGCUUAACACAUAGCAAGUCGAACGAAGCAAUACGGAAGGAAGUUUUCGGAUGGAAUUCAUACUUGGACUGAGUCGGCGGACGGGUGAGUAACGCGUGGGUAACCUGCCUCAUACAGGGGGAUAACAGUUAGAAUGACUGCUAAUACCGCAUAAGCGCACAGAAUCGCAUGAUAAUGUGUGAAAAACUCCGGUGGUAUGAGAUGGACCCGCGUCUGAUUAGCUAGUUGGUGGGGUAAAGGCCUACCAAGGCGACGAUCAGUAGCCGACCUGAGAGGGUGAUCGGCCACAUUGGGACUGAGACACGGCCCAAACUCCUACGGGAGGCAGCAGUGGGGAAUAUUGCACAAUGGGGGAAACCCUGAUGCAGCAACGCCGCGUGAGUGAAGAAGUAUUUCGAUAUGUAAAGCUCUAUCAGCAGGGAAGAAGAUGACGAUACCUGAGUAAGAAGCCCCGGCUAACUACGUG
rnacentral:rRNA from 1 species